rnacentral:rRNA from 1 species
UAGAGUUUGAUCCUGGCUCAGGGUGAACGCUCGCGGUGUGGAUAAGGCAUGCAAGUCGUACGCCUAGUAACACUUUUGGUUUCCAAAAGUGUUACUAGACGUGGCAAACGGGGCAGUAACACGUGCCUAACCUACCCUGAAGACGAGGAUAACCCCCGAAAGGGGACUAAUCCUCGAUGGUCCUAUACUUACACAAGUAAGGAUAGGUAAAGGGGCGCAAGCCCGCUUCAGGAAGGGGGCGCGGCCGAUCAGCUAGUUGGUGAGGUAACGGCUCACCAAGGCUAAGACCGGUAGGGGGCCUGAGAGGGUGUCCCCCGCCAAGGGCACUGAGACACGGGCCCUACUCCUACGGGAGGCAGCAGCCGAGAAUCUUGGGCAAUGGGCGAAAGCCUGACCCAGCGACACCGCGUGGCGGAAGAAGCCCUUCGGGGUGUAAACGCCUUUUGUGUGGGAUGAAGCCCAGUGCAUUUUUGUGCUGGGUUGACAGUACCCCACGAAUAAGGGACGACUAACUUCGUGCCAGCAGUCGCGGUAAGACGAAGGUCCCGAGCGUUACCCGGAUUUACUGGGCGUAAAGGGCCCACAGGCUGGAGCAUAAGUCUUUCCUUAAAUCCUUGAGCCUAACUCAAGGACUGGGAAAGAUACUGUGCUCCUAGAGACUGCCAGAGGCCGGCGGAACGCACGGUGUAGGGGUGAAAUCCGUUGAUAUCGUGCGGAACGCCGAAGGCGAAGGCAGCCGGCUAGGGCAGUUCUGACGCUGAUUGGGCGAAAGCCAGGGGCGCGAACCGGAUUAGAUACCCGGGUAGUCCUGGCUGUAAACGCUGGGUGCUAACUCUGGGGAGAUUCGACCCUCUUUGGGGUAAAGCUAACGCGUUAAGCACCCCGCCUGGGAAGUACGACCGCAAGGUCGAAACUCAAAGGAAUAGGCGGAAGGCCGCACAAGCGGUGGACCAUGUGGUUCAAUUCGAUAGUAACCGAAAAAUCUUACCCAGGCUUGACAUGCUUGUCUUAAUGCUCAUUUCGAAAGAAAGGAGAAGCCGGAUUUUAUCCGGCGGGCAAGCACAGGUGCUA